rnacentral:rRNA from 1 species
AUUGAACGCUGGCUGCAUGCCUUACACAUGCAAGUCGAACGGCAGCACGGGAGCAAUCCUGGUGGCGAGUGGCGAACGGGUGAGUAAUAUAUUGGAACGUGCCCAGUAGUGGGGGAUAACUGCUCGAAAGAGCAGCUAAUACCGCAUACGACCUGAGGGCGAAAGGGGGGGAUCGCAAGACCUCUCGCUAGUGGAGCGGCCGAUAUCAGAUUAGCUAGUUGAUGGGGGAAAGGCCUACCAAGGCAACGAUCUGGAGUUGGUGUGAGAGGACGACCAGCCACACUGGGACUGAGACACGGCCCAGACUCCUACGGGAGGCAGCAGUGGGGAAUUUUGGACAAUGGGCGCAAGCCUGAUCCAGCAAUGCCGCGUGCAGGAAGAAGGCCUUCGGGUUGUAAACUGCUUUUGUCAGGGAAGAAAUCCUCUAGGUUAAUACCCUUGGGGGGAUGACGGUACCUGAAGAAUAAGCACCGGCUAACUACGUGCCAGCCGCCGCAGUAAGAC